UGCGGGGUAGUGUAGCGGUUACACGCUGGGCUCAUAACCCAGAAUGACAUGGGUUCGAAUCCCAUCCCCGCCA
rnacentral:tRNA from 1 species